GCGAGUGUAGCCAAGUGGUUGAAGGCGGCGGGUUGUGGUUCCGUUAUUCGCCGGUUCGAGUCCGGUCAUUCGCC
rnacentral:tRNA from 1 species